GACGAACGCUGGCGGCGUGCUUAACACAUGCAAGUCGAACGGAAAGGCCCUGCUUUUGUGGGGUGCUCGAGUGGCGAACGGGUGAGUAACACGUGAGUAACCUGCCCUUGACUUUGGGAUAACUUCAGGAAACUGGGGCUAAUACCGGAUAGGAGCUCCUGCUGCAUGGUGGGGGUUGGAAAGUUUCGGCGGUUGGGGAUGGACUCGCGGCUUAUCAGCUUGUUGGUGGGUAGUGGCUUACCAAGGCUUUUACGGGUAGCCGGCCUGAGGGGGUGACCGGCCACAUUGGGACUGAGAUACGGCCCAGACUCCUACGGGAGGCAGCAGUGGGGAAUAUUGCACAAUGGGCGGAAGCCUGAUGCAGCAACGCCGCGUGCGGGAUGACGGCCUUCGGGUUGUAAACCGCUUUCGCCUGUGACGAAGCGUGAGUGACGGUAAUGGGUAAAGAAGCACCGGCUAACUACGUG
rnacentral:rRNA from 1 species